GUAGGUGAACCUGCGGAAGGAUCAUCAAUAAUUGAGUUUAGACUAGAAAUAGUCGAGACUUUUAUUAUAUUAGACGAGAAUAGUAAUCGACUGAUUGCUAGACCGAAAUUUACAUGGUCUAUUUUAAUGAACUUUUUUCGACUAAUAAUAUAGUCAACGAACAGGAUAAUAGACUGAAAUUUGGACUAGUCCAAUCAGUCAAUAAAGCAUAAAACUUUCGGCAAUGGAUCUCUCGGCUCUCGCAUCGAUG
rnacentral:misc_RNA from 1 species